rnacentral:lncRNA from 1 species
AUGGCGCGCACCAAGCAGACCGCCCGCAAAGCCACCGCCUGGCAGGCCCCCAGGAAGCCCCUGGCCACCAAAGCAGCCGGAAAAAGGGCGCCGCCUACAGGAGGGAUCAAGAAGCCUCACCGCUACAAGCCUGGCACCCUGGCGCUGCGGGAAAUCAGAAAGUACCAGAAGUCCACGCAGCUGCUCCUGCGCAAGCUGCCCUUCCAGCGCCUGGUGCGCGAGAUCGCCCAGGCCAUCAGCCCGGACCUGCGCUUCCAGAGUGCGGCCAUUGGCGCCCUGCAGGAGGCCAGCGAGGCCUACCUGGUGCAGCUCUUUGAAGACACCAACCUGUGUGCCAUCCAUGCCAGGCGCGUCACAAUUAUGCCCCGAGACAUGCAGCUGGCCCGCCGCCUCCGCAGAGAGGGUCCUUAA